rnacentral:rRNA from 1 species
AGAGUUUGAUCAUGGCUCAGGAUGAACGCUGGCGGUCUGCUUAACACAUGCAAGUCGAACGGAGUAGAAAUACUUAGUGGCGGACGGGUGAGUAACGCGUGAGAAUCUGCCUUCAGGACGGAGACAACAGUUGGAAACGACUGCUAAGCCCCGAUGAACCGAAAGGGAAAAUAUUUAUAGCCUGAAGAUGAGCUCGCGUCCGAUUAGCUAGUUGGCGGAGUAAAAGCCCACCAAGGCGACGAUCGGUAGCUGGUCUGAGAGGACGAUCAGCCACACUGGGACUGAGACACGGCCCAGACUCCUGCGGGAGGCAGCAGUGGGGAAUUUUCCGCAAUGGGCGAAAGCCUGACGGAGCAAGACCGCGUGGGGGAAGAAGGCUCUUGGGUUGUAAACCCCUUUUCUCUGGGAAGAAAGUUGUGAAAGCAACCUGACGGUACCAGAGGAAUCAGCAUCGGCUAACUCCGUGCCAGCAGCCGCGGUAAGACGGAGGAUGCAAGCGUUAUCCGGAAUGAUUGGGCGUAAAGCGUCCGCAGGUGGCAGUUCAAGUCUGCUGUCAAAGACCGGGGCUUAACUUCGGAAAGGCAGUGGAAACUGAACAGCUAGAGUAUGGUAGGGGCAGAGGGAAUUCCUGGUGUAGCGGUGAAAUGCGUAGAGAUCAGGAAGAACAUCGGUGGCGAAGGCGCUCUGCUGGACCAUAACUGACACUCAGGGACGAAAGCUAGGGGAGCGAAUGGGAUUAGAUACCCCCGUAGUCC